GACGAACGCUGGCGGCGUGCUUAACACAUGCAAGUCGAACGGAAAGGCCCUGCUUUUGUGGGGUGCUCGAGUGGCGAACGGGUGAGUAACACGUGAGUAACCUGCCCUUGACUUUAGGAUAACUUCAGGAAACUGGGGCUAAUACCGGAUAGGAACUCCUGCUGCAUGGUGGGGGUUGGAAAGUUUCGGCGGUUGGGGAUGGACUCGCGGCUUAUCAGCUUGUUGGUGGGGUAGUGGCUUACCAAGGCUUUGGCGGGUAGCCGGCCUGAGAGGGUGACCGGCAACAUUGGGACUGAGAUACGGCCCAGACUCCUACGGGAGGCAGCAGAGGGGAAUAUUGCACGAUGGGCGGAAGCCUGAUGCAGCAACGCCGCGUGCUGGAUGACGGCCUUCGGGUUGUAAACCGCUUUCGCCUGUAACGAAGCGUGAGUGAAGGUAAUGUAUAAAGAAGCACCGGCUAACUACGUG
rnacentral:rRNA from 1 species